UGGUCACAGUCAGGUGCAUGCACUGACGGUUCACCAGGCGGGUAGGUGCCGUCGGACCUCGGCACCUCUCGGGUGCCGCCGCUGGCCGGUCGGGGUGUGCAGUGCUGGACCGCAGGUAGGUGCCGCCGCUGGUUGGUCGGGGUGUGGUGUGCAGUGCCGGACCGACGCCUACUCCGCUUGUGGUUGGUGGGCGUUUCUAGCCCGCGGCUGCUCGUGCCGUCGCCGUUGGUUGGGGGCUUCGACUCCGGGGCGCGCGGCGGCGGCGUUGUCUUUUUGUCUCCUCUCGCUCUGUGCCGGCGCGUUGCCGUUGUCCCCUCCUCUUGUCUAGGGCGCGGGACGUAAACGGGACGAUAGAAGGAGGUGGCCACUCUACCAGCCUCCCUACUUUGGCUGCGCUGUUCGGCCGGCCGCCAGCAGUACCGCCGCCGCCACGAUACUCGUUACUCGUGCUGUGCCGGACCUAAAGAAACGUUCUUCUGCGUAGAGGCUAGCGCACGGCGCCACCAACCGAAGAGCUUAGGAAGAACACAUGCAUCGGCAGUACAGCAGGUUGAGGAGGAGCCGGCGGGGUGGCGGCGGGAGGUUCUCGUCGGGAGGAGGUAGCCGUCGGGGCGGCGGCAGUGGCAGGUAGAGGUUAAGCAGGAGCGGCCGCGGCAGGUCGAGGUUGCUGGGGAGCGGAGGCGGACGCGGCGGGUUCAGGUUACCGCGGGGCCGCAGCGGUCGUUCCCAAGGCAGAGGUGGUCGGGUUAGUAGGUCUCCGAGGCCACUGAGCUCGUCCAGCAGUGUCUGAAGACGCGUGGCACAGUCGGGGUUGUGGUGCCGGCUCUAGUAAAAGCGGCGGCGGCCCCGCCGCUACGAGGAGCGCGAGGAGUAGCGCCGGACGCAGACGACGAGCUCCUCCUGCCGCGGCUCCGCCUCCGCCUUCGGAGUGUUAGGGUACGUAAAGAUGCGGCUAUGGAGGCCGUUGUUUCCAUUUUGCGUUACGAGUGUUUCAACGGUAGCUAGCGGUAACGUACGAGCACCACGACAAGGAGAACGAGAACUAAACGUAUGCACAACAAUUGGUGUCGGCCGUCGUGCAUGAUGUGGCCGCCCGGCGUCGGCGUCACGGUCUCGCCGUGGCCGCGCCCCGGCAGCUGCUCGUGCAGGGCGGGUGGGCCCCGUCGGACCGGCAACGGCGGGCCGUACUUGAGCCCGCAGAUGAGGUCGGGCGCGCUGGUCGGCUGCAGUGGCGGGCGUGGCGUCCUCUGCGACCCCGAGCCGUCCCCGUGCAAGUGGAUGCUCCUCGAGCGCCGCCGCUGCCCGCCGAAGAGCGUCAGCUUGGACGAGCCCGUCCCGCCCAAGCCCAUGCACGUGUUCCCCCACGAGGGGUCGCCGUCCCGCCACCGGCACUUCGUCGAGUUCAGGCCCUCGCCCGUCCCCCUCGCGCUCAAGGUCCGGCUCCACCUGUAGUAGCCGGCCCACGUGGUGGCGGUGGAGCACAGGGAGCAGCCGGUGACGUAGCGGCCGCGGUCGGCGUACGAGCAGAUGCUCAAGCAGGGGUUGUUCUGCGAGCUCAAGGUGGAGGUACCCCUUCCCAACGGCGGCUACCGUACCGGCUGCUCCGACGCGUAGCGCGAGCCCCGCCGCUUCCCCGAGCGGAUGGACGUGCUUCUGACGGUAGGUGCCUAGUAGGUGGCGCUGUAGUUCAGCCGGUUGUAGGAGGACCUGUUGUUGAAGCUCCGGUACCACCGCCUGAAGCCCGACCGGUUCGACUGCAUGCUGCCGUAGUGCGUGCAGAGCUGCGCCCAGUACCCCUGCAAGCCCAUGGACCGCGGCCUCAUGCGCAGCUCGCCCUUCGACUGCCUCUUCAGCCUGCAGAUGAGGAUGCCGCACUACGACCAGCUCGAGUAGUGCCCCGCCGCCGGGUAGCUGCGGUGGCGCGUGAACCAGGACCUCCUGCCGGACCAGCUUACCCGCUCCGGCCGGGACAGCGCGCGCGAGCGGCUGCCGCUGAUGCUGCGGCAGCGGCUGGGCUCCGACGUCCCGUCGAUGCUCGGCCACCUCUACCGCGCGCACCACCGGUCGCGGCGGCGGACGCAGGCCGUGAGCCGGUUCUUCGCGGGCUUCUACUCGGUCUAGCACUCCCGCGACCUCCCGCUGUACAGCGACCUCCUGGACUUGCUGCCCCACGCCGGCCCCGUCUCGUCCGACAAGCUCCUCCCCCGCCCCAGCACGUCAAGGCUGUACUUGGCCUGGUUUCACCACCAGCACCGCUCGGGGCUCAUGUCGCCGUCCAAGCCUGCCGGGAGCGGCCAGUCGUCGCUGUCCGGUUAGAGGCUGCUCUACUCAGGCCGCCUCUCUGUCGUCGGCGUGGAGACUGGCUAAGACACCAAAAGAGGAACGGCAUGCAGACCCAUCAAACAAGUACACGAUAAAGAUUGUAAAGCACAAUGGCUAAUCACAACCACACCUCUUGGUAUGUACAGUACAAACCUGUAUCUUUCUCGGUAACUUUUCCAAAGAAAGAAGACAUCUGUUGUCGUUACGUAAAUAUAUUUUUGUUAUUACAUGCAUGAGUUGAUUUGACUUUUUAUAACACAACGAGAACUGUGCUCUCCAUUCGAUAGAGUAUCUCAUAGUGUUAUAGGAUG
rnacentral:rRNA from 1 species